GUAUCUAACACCUAAAAUAGGGGAGACCCUAAAAAUUAGAUCCGCCGUUUUGUCUUCUUCCAAAAUCAAAGAAGACCAAGAAAAUGACGCCUAAAAUCGUUCUUCUUCAUCGAGUGAAUCAAGGAAAAAGCUGAAGGCGUCGUUUUUGUUGACCUUGAGAUCCGCCAUUUUCUAAAGAGAUAAAAAAAAAAGCAAAAAAAGAUACAAACACAAAAAGAGCUGAAAUACAAAAAAGAACGCUAAGGAAAAAGCUAAAAAGGCCAAAAAGCCUAGGGACCUAAGGCAAGAAAUUAGCCUAGAGCCCUAGAGGUACAAGAAAAGUUCUGCCGAAAUUCUCAAUACAAGACCACCCCAUCGGUUGUCUUUUCUUCUUAAAAAAACAUGAAGAAAGCUUCAGAAGUUUCUGAGUUUCAGCGCCAUUGACAACAAAAAACGAUCUCACCGUUCUGCUUUCCCUCCAUUCCAAAACGAGAGCAACAACAGUGAGGAGGAGUUUCUGCUUUUCUGCUCGUUCUUUGGUUGUCGUCGAAAAACAACGGCGUUUCAGUUGAGUUUGAGUUCCGUUAAAGCCCGUUCGCAGGUCGCUAGCUCCGAGUUGGUUUGUUUCUGUCCGUUUUCGAGUUUGCCGGCAAGUUUCGAUACUCCGUCUGAGGGCUAGUCCAUGGUCUUGUCUAUUUCUGCUUGUCAAAAUUAUUGAUUAAUCAUGAUUCAGAUUCAAUUUCAAGGUAUGAAAAGAAAAUGCUUCAAGCCUAGUUAACCUACAAAUCCACCACAAUGGUAAUUUUGUAUCGGACCCUGACCUAAGGGUCUUCAUCUAGCAAUAAUUCAGUUAUUGCCAAAUGCUGAGAAGAGAUGGUGUGCUAGACAAAUCUGGGUAAUUGGAAGCAAACUUGGCCUGGUGAGGAAAGAAGGAAAAAAUUAUGGCAGUGUGCAAGAGCUACAUUUGAAGUUUACUUUAGCAAGAAGUUGGAUGAAAUGGACCAGCUGGGGGGAGAUUGUUCAAGACUUACUGAAAUACAACAAGGAAACAUGGUGUAGGGCAUACUUCAAAGAACAUAGUAAGUGUGAUGCAGUGGAGAACAACAUGUGUGAGACAUUCAAUAGUUGGUUAUUGGCAGCUAGGCACAAAUCUAUCAUUACUAUGUUAGAGGAAAUUAGAAUCAAGUGUAUGGAGAGGAUGAAUAUCAUAAGAGAGUUUUCUGAAAAAUGGGUAGGUGAUAUAUCACCCAUGACUAUGGAAAUACUUGGAGAGAAUGCUUAAAGGGCAGCCAAAUGUGAAGUCAAAUUUAAUGAUGAAACAUGGUAUGAGAUCCAGGAUGGGCCAUAUAAACAUGUUGUUGACUUUAGGAGGUGUUCCUGUAUUUGUAGAUCAUGCCAAUUCAAAGGAAUUCCAUGUGCACAUGCAAUUACAGCAAUGCAUUAUAAGAACUAUGAGGUUGAGCCAUAUGUUGACCAUUGGUAUAGAAAGGAUACCUACCUUAAGGCAUAUAGCAGAUUCAUUCAACCUUUAACUAGUAUGAAUUUGUGGCCAAAAAGUACACUGCCAGCUAUUGAGCCACCUGUUAUAAAUGCAAUGCCAGGAAGGCCAAAGAAAAAAAGGAGAAAAGCUGCUGAUAAACCAAAGAAGAAGUGUGGGAAGGGUACAAGGAUAGGGAGACAAAUGAGAUAUUCUUUGUGCAAGACUCUUGGACAUAACAAGAAAGAGAAACCAAGGGGGAAGGGCUGGAACUAAUUCAGUUGGAGGUGAAACUGCUGAAAAUGCUUCAUCAACAGCAACAGGUGGAAGUGCAUCAGUACCAGCAGCUGGAAGUGCAUCAGCAACAGUUGGAAGUGCAUCUACCAAUAGCUGGAUCAUCAACAACAGCUGGAUCAGCAACAUCACCUUCAACUAUGGAAAGUGGCACCUUCAAUCCACCAAUCACUGAUCCAAGUACACAACAAUCAACUAAUGUUGCAGGAGGUCCAAAAAGGAAGACCAAUGAGCCUAGAAGAGGUGGUGCAAAUGUAGGGUCUAAGAGACCAAAGACAACAGGAUAUGGUGUGCUAUUUGAUUCAAGUGGCACUGUUACACAAAGGUCUGAAACUACUGACAGAGUGGUACACAAUCCUUCUACACUCAUAAGUUCUGCCCUACCAACAUUGAACUUAGGUUCAAACCACCUAGACUAAAGUGGAAGGGUCGAUCUGCAGUUACCCAAAGGCAGCUGCAAGAACAGAGUUACAGAAGGGCAAACUCUGCUACAACCACUCAAGCCACACCAGUUACACAAUCCACACCAAGCAGCCAAGCCACAACAAACAUUAAUUGAAGUGCUCAACUGAUAUUUAUAUAUUUUGAAGACUUAAUCAUGUAUGUUUUUGUUGAU